rnacentral:rRNA from 1 species
AGCGAACGCUGGCGGCAUGCCUUACACAUGCAAGUCGAACGGUAACAGGUCUUCGGAUGCUGACGAGUGGCGAACGGGUGAGUAAUACAUCGGAACGUGCCUAGUAGUGGGGGAUAACUACUCGAAAGAGUGGCUAAUACCGCAUGAGAUCUACGGAUGAAAGCAGGGGAUCGCAAGACCUUGUGCUACUAGAGCGGCCGAUGGCAGAUUAGGUAGUUGGUGGGAUAAAAGCUUACCAAGCCGACGAUCUGUAGCUGGUCUGAGAGGAGGAUCAGCCACACUGGGGCUGAGACACGGCCCAGACUCCUACGGGAGGCAGCAGUGGGGAAUUUUGGACAAUGGGCGCAAGCCUGAUCCAGCAAUGCCGCGUGCAGGAUGAAGGCCUUCGGGUUGUAAACUGCUUUUGUACGGAACGAAAAGCCCUGGGUUAAUACCCUGGGGUCAUGACGGUACCGUAAGAAUAAGCACCGGCUAACUACGUGCCAGCCGCCGCGGUAAUAC